GUGCAGAACCGAGCCAGAACCAAGUUCCAACCUGACAAUUCCGUGCUCAUCACAAACAAAUGUAACAAUGCUUCAUGCUUUCAAAACACUAGAGUCUUGUCUACAAUCAGAACGUAUACGCUUGAAAAUGCUCCACACACAACUCCAACAAGCGAACGAAUAUAUUCAGGAGAUUUGACGCGUAGACUAGUUGACAUGAAUUAACAUUACGUUUUCAUAUUACACUUUUUAUCAUGGGUUCACCAUUUUUGGAGGCCAAAAAACAGGCCGGCAACCAAAGGGUUUAAAUUCACCAGUCCUCCCCUCUCAAUGGGCCAAACAAGGAGACGAUACCUCAAGAUUUGCCAGGCGGUUCAGGUCUGGAUACAGAUGCUGAAGUAGCAGAAGACCCAGCAGGCCAGAAGACACAAAGCCAGCUCCCACCUCACGCUGCCCAGAUCCUCGAUGCCGGCAGACAUACCCAACACCCGCCGCCUGAGGGGGGGUAAGAGGCUGUACUGAACUUGACUGGGACAAUUAUAUAUAUAUUAUAUUAUAUUAUCAGCAGGGAUUUUGUGAUCAUCAUUUGGUAACAAAGACAUGGAAGGAAAAGUAUUUGUCCAGCUGAUCCAACUUAUUUUUCAAUGGUUCACUGUAUAUCCAGGUUAUAAAAUGUAAUAUUUAGAAUAGGUUCUUAUUAGGCAUAAUGCAUUGAAAGUCAUGCAACAAAGGGAAAUUAGACUCACUCCCAGAACUCAGUAGCAGCAGAGGUGUGUUUUUUCAGCAUGGUCAGAUUCGCUGUCCAGUUUGAUGAGGAAGAAUCAUUCCCAUGAAGGCCCAUGCAGUUCGCUGGUUUGGAGAACAAACGUGAAAACAGGUACUCUCAUACAAAGCCUACAAUUCUGCGUUUUCAAGCUUUAGAAAUGAAAUCUGACCUGUGUUCCAUGAGUUCUCGCAGGUGGCCCACGGCGCCUGGGCGCUAAACGAGAACACCAAGUAAAAGAGAGCCCAGGCUUCUAUAAUAAUGAAGCUGAAGUCGUACAGUUUCACCACUGCUUGUCCAUAUCCAAUUCCUGAAAUACCAAACGAAAACGUUAUCUUUUCCACGGUUUGCUCGUAGCGAGAUGAGCCUGAGACAAAAUCAUGUAUUUUCUGCGGUUUGAGUAUCAUAUAGAAAAUAUGUCUUUUAUACAAACUCACCUUGGGCCAGCGGACAUAAUUUCCUCCAGGAGGUGACGAAUCCUUCCUGGGUGUACUGACCAACGGAGCUCUCCAGUAGGAACAGAGGAAUCCCACACACCAUAGCGAACAGACCAUACGGCACCAGAAAGGCCCCUGGGUGGUAAACAGAGAUGAAUGCACGUAUGACGGGUUGAGUUCAGUCGAAUCAGCUCUAGGUUCGGAAGCCGUGUGAUUCACCUCCACCAUUCUUGUAGCAGAGAUCGGGGACUUUGUCAGCCGUGAGUUGAAAUCCAGAAGAACUGCAAACGGAUCUUCUUUUACUGUCUACCGUCACGUAAGGACAUGACUGGAUGCCCAUGUUUUCUGUUAACAGGUGACCUAUAAAUGUCUGAGUUUCCCUCUAGGAGCCAAUACAGUCACACAGCGUGUCUUUGGUUGUCUUUAGUUUACCAAUUCAAAUCUAUGCAGAAACGGGACAGGCCGAAGGCCACCAAACUGGCCCCACGGUUGAGUGGACUCUGCCAGAAGCCGUCCCCGGAGGUCACGGUGACCUCAGUGGUGGUGACAGUGAACGCCUUUCACAAACAGAAAAUCUAAUAAAUGCAAAGUAUGUGUGUUUUAUAUUACCUGAAACUAAUAUAGUGCUCAAGAGUAAUAUUUGAGCUCUGGUUAGAUCAGCCUUACUUGAAACAGUUGUAGUGGAGCUCAUUGUGGGAUGGAUUUGUCCCUGCAGCCAGGCUGUAGGAGAACUGUACUGUGUACUUCGUGUAUGGAAAUGCGGAACCAUCGCUACCUAAAUGUGAGGUCAUUGACAAAUACACACUCUGCAAAUACAUCAAUAUUCCAAAGACUAAGCCUAGAGCAAGCAGGAGCUUGUUUCGUAUUCCAUUAAAAUGAUCAGUUAUUAAUGUUUCACGUUGUCAUGUUGCACUACUGCUACUGACUGCUCCUGAACAACGCUGAUGUCCUAAACCGUUUUUUCUGUCUUAUUUUAUUUUGUCUGUUUCAGACCUAUAUUUCACUACUUUUCUUUCCUCUUGGCCUCAUAUGUUGCCUCAACGUGUCCCCCCCCCCCCCCAUACAGCGACCCAUGGAUGCUGUGCAUUGGGAUGGCAGAAGUUAAUGUGUGUGUCUCCCAUAACCACCCGGGUGGUGACAUUCUGCACACUUUAUACUUUACGUAUUGACGGUUGCUUCUGUUUUCCAAACUGCAUUGCGGCAAUCAUUAGCAAACACUAACUAUAUGUAAGCAUAUGUUUCGCAGUGGUGUUGCUGGUGGGUCGCACAGGGAAAUUCAGAAAUAUUUUAUUUUAGGAACUAUUUUGCCUCUCUCAAAACUAAAUACAGAUCUAAGGCAACAGCAUGAAUCGAGAUGCUGCAUCAAGUCUGCAACCACGUUUUGCAAAGACUUGCUGUGGAAAGCAGGCUCAUUGCGGCCACUAACACUGAUAAAACAUGUGUAUGGGAUGGCUAAUACACAUCUGCACUCAUUUUGUUCGGUUUUGCACAAGUUGCACAUUACUGUUGUUGAAAAAAAAUACAUAUUGUAAUAUAUUAUUUGCAUUGUUUUAACAAGAAUGUUUUAUUACAUUGUUUCCACUGAUGUAACAUGAAUCCUGAGACCUUUGAUACACAGUCAGGGGGAGGUUAAGGGGGUGGGGGGGGUUGUGAGGUUUCCUUUAAAUAUGGAACUUAGUAUCAGAAUACGUAAAGACGUAUAAGAGUAGUG